rnacentral:rRNA from 1 species
CGCUCCUUGAAAAGCUACAAAUAAUGCGAACAUAUUAGGAGUCCUGCCUGCCCGGUGACUUAGUUAAACGGCCGCGGUAUCUUGACCGUGCAAAGGUAGCAUAAUCAUUUGCCUCUUAAAUGGGGGCUGGUAUGAAUGGCAAGACGGAAAUUAAGCUGUCUCUYCCUUGGUUUCCCUAAUUUAAUUUUUCCGUGAAGAAGCGGAAAUUUAGUCGUGGGACGAGAAGACCCUGUCGAGCUUUAGUGGUUAUUUUCUAGGCAGAGUAAAGGCCGUUUGCUGCUAAUUAACUUAUAAAAGGAAUUUGUUUUACGAGGCGAAGGACCUUGUCUUGGGAAGUACGCUUUGGUUGGGGCAACCGCGGAGUAUAGAAAUCCUCCGUUAAGUUAACUAAAUGAAGUUAUAUCUUUUUUGUGGGCUUACUAUCGGAUUGAUCCGCCUGUAUGGGGGCGAACAAAUGAACAAGUUACCGCAGGGAUAACAGCGUAAUUCCCUUGGAGAGUUCGUAUUGGUAAGGGAGUUUGCGACCUCGAUGUUGGAUCGGGAUUUCCUGGGGGUGAAGCAGCUCCUAAGGGUUGGUCUGUUCGACCAUUAAAAUCUUACG